UCCCUGGCGGUCCAGUGGUUAAGACUCUACACUUUCAUUGUGGAGGACCUGGGUUCAAUCCUCAGUCAGGGAA